AAUGAACGCUGGCGGCAUGCCUAACACAUGCAAGUCGAACGAAGGCUUCGGCCUUAGUGGCGCGCGGGUGCGUAACGCGUGGGAAUCUGCCCUUGGGUUCGGAAUAACAGUUAGAAAUGACUGCUAAUACCGGAUGAUGUCGUAAGACCAAAGAUUUAUCGCACAAGGAUGAGCCCGCGUAGGAUUAGCUAGUUGGGUGGGGAAAGGCCCACCAAGGCGACGAUCCUUAGCUGGUCUGAGAGGAUGAUCAGCCACACUGGGACUGAGACACGGCCCAGACUCAUACGGGAGGCAGCAGUGGGGAAUAUUGGACAAUGGGCGAAAGCCUGAUCCAGCAAUGCCGCGUGAGUGAUGAAGGCCUUAGGGUUGUAAAGCUCUUUUACCCGGGAUGAUAAUGACAGUACCGGGAGAAUAAGCUCCGGCUAACUUCGUGCCAGCCGCCGCCGUAAAAC
rnacentral:rRNA from 1 species